UUGGAGGGCAAGUCUGGUGCCAGCAGCCGCGGUAAUUCCAGCUCCAAUAGCGUAUAUUAAAGUUGCUGCAAUUAAAAAGCUCGUAGUUGAAUUUCGGGACCAAUUUGUUGGUCGUGCCUCGGUACGUACUGGUAUUAUUGGUUUCUCCCUUCUGAAGAACCUUGAUGUCAUUAAUUUGGUGUCUUGGGGAAUCAGGACUGUUACUUUGAAAAAAUUAGAGUGUUUAAAGCAGGCAUACGCUUGAAUACAUUAGCAUGGAAUAAUGAAAUAGGACGUCUGAUUCUAUUUUGUUGGUUUCUAGGAUCGACGUAAUGAUUAAUAGGGAUAGUUGGGGGCAUUAGUAUUCAAUUGUCAGAGGCGAAAUUCUUGGAUUUAUUGAAGACUAACUACUGCGAAAGCGUUUGCCAAGGAUGUUUUCAUUAAUCAAGAACGAAAGUUAGGGGAUCGAAGACGAUCAGAUACCGUCGUAGUCUUAACCAUAAACUAUGCCGACUAGGGAUCGGAUGAUGUUAUUUUUAAUGACUCAUUCGGCACCUUACGGGAAAC
rnacentral:rRNA from 1 species